UACGGGGGGUGCGAGCGUUGUCCGGAAUCAUUGGGCGUAAAGAGUUCGUAGGUGGUAUGUUAAGUCUGGUGUCAAAUCCCGAAGCUUAACUUCGGUUCGGCACUGGAUACUGGCAAACUGGAAUGCGUUAGAGGUAAAGGGAAUUCCUGGUGUAGCGGUGAAAUGCGUAGAUAUCAGGAGGAACAUCGGAGGCGUAAGCGCUUUACUGGGCCGUAAUUGACACUGAGGAACGAAAGCCUGGGUAGCAAAU
rnacentral:rRNA from 1 species